rnacentral:rRNA from 1 species
AAAGUUUGAUCCUGGCUCAUGUUGAAYACUGGCGGCAUGUUUAACAUAKGCMAGUCGAACGUAUCUCGCAWGAGAUGCSUGGCAAACGGGAGARUAACWCAUUGGWAACUUACCUUUAKCUUGGGUAUAACCCGGAGAAAUCUGGGACMAUMCCCAAUAGUCAUGGGUUGACGAUAGUUUUCCCAUGUAAAGUUUUUUCGGAUAAAGAGAGGCCUAUGGCUCAUCARCUAGUUGGUAGGGUAAUGGCCUACCAAGGCUACGACGAGUWACAGGUGUGAGAGCACGACCUGCCCCACUGGGACUGAGACACUGCCCAGACUCCUACGGGAGGCUGCAGUCAAGAAUCUUCCUCAAUGGACGAAAGUCUGAAGGAGCAAUGCCGCGUGWWCGAUGAAGCCUCUAGGGGUGUAAAGAUCUUUUAUCAGGGACGAAUUUGUGACGGUACCUGAUGAAUAAGUCACUGCUAACUUCGUGCCAGCAGCAGCGGUAAUACGAAGGUGGCAAGCGUUACCCGGAUUAAUUGGGCGUAAAGCGUCCGCAGACGGUUAAAAAAGUUCUUGGUUAAAUCUGGUGGCUCAACCUCCAGACCGCUGGGAAUACUUUUUGACUAGAGACUGGAAGAGGCAAGCGGAAUUGCCGGUGUAGUAGUAAAAUGCGUUGAUAUCGGCAGGAACACCAAAAGCGAAGGCAGCUUGCUAGUACAGUUCUGACGUUCAGGGACGAAAGCGUGGGUAGCGAAUGGGAUUAGAUACCCCAGUAGUCCACGCCGUAAACGAUGGGUACUAAGCAUUGGGAGUAUCGACCCUCCCAGUGUUGUUUAACUAAGCUAACGCCUUAAGUACCCCGCCUGGGAAGUACGGCCGCAAGGCUAAAACUCAAAGGAAUUGACGGGAGCCCGCAMAGCGGUGGAGCGUGUGUUUAAUUCGACAGKWARGCGAGGAACCUUACCAAGGCUUGAAUCUAGCUGCAUACUCUAGAAAUARAGUAGCCUACGAAGGUUGCUAGACAGGUGCUGCAUGCUGUCGUCAGCUYGUGUCGKGAAAUGUUGAUCAGUCCUUACSRAGSCCAACCCUUAUCUUWGUUAAAUGUUMAUGGAACUGCCUCGGUACUAGGAARUAGGGUAGAAUGASCYUCAAUCAMSMAUGAGCCUCUUUUWSCSCCUKUGGGACA